rnacentral:rRNA from 1 species
UACGGAGGGUGCGAGCGUUAAUCGGAAUUACUGGGCGUAAAGGGUGCGUAGGUGGUUAGAUAAGUUAUCUGUAAAAGCCCUGGGCUUAACCUGGGAAGGCCAGAUAAAACUGUUUGACUGGAGUAUGGGAGAGGGUAGUGGAAUUUCCGGUGUAGCGGUGAAAUGCGUAGAGAUCGGAAGGAACACCAGUGGCGAAGGCGGCUACCUGGCCUGAUACUGACACUGAAGCACGAAAGCGUGGGGAGCAAACAGG